AGAAUAAAGAGAGGAGAUGUUGUGUAAAAAAGCCACAGUUCUAGACAGGAAAAGCCGGUUGAUACACACACCUAAUGCCUACUUUACAUAAUAACCGCUGUGUAUGACGGCUGGUGACUGAGGUAGGAGCACCAUAUCUAACUGAACCGACUGAUAAGGUGUGUGCCUACAGAGCACUGAUUAUACUCAACACCAAGAGAAAAAGAAGAGUGAGAAAGAGACGGAUUAAAGAGUCAGAUGGAAGACGGCUGCAGGGGAGGGAGAGAGAAAGACGUGGAAGAGAAAGGAAGAGGAGAAGACGGGAGCAUGUGUUGUAUGCCGGGAAGAGAAAUGAAGGUGUAGAGAGGGGAAAAGAAGAAAGCUACCGUAGAGAGGUUAUUCCAUUUGGAGAUGAAAGGCGCAGACGGAGAGCGAGCCAUUUCUAAAGGAAACAUAAUAACCUUUUCAUACCUCCUCCUGGAGCACAGUGGGGGGAGGAUGGGGGAGGAAAGAAUGGGAGGAGGGGAGAGGACGGCGGCGCAGAGGAGCAUUUAAAAGUAAUAACCCAUCCCUGAGGUUUCUGGACAUCUUUUGCCCCACUUUCGCUGUUUGAUGUGGAGAAAAUGACCAAGGCGGUGGCAACAGCAGCAAAAAACGAGACGGGGGAGAGAGAGGCAACAAAAGAGGAAAAAGGAAAAUGUCUGUCAUUAGAGAACGGCAAAAUGGAGAGGAGGCAAAAAAAAGAUGCCAGGUUCAGUCACCCAGGGAAAAGAGGGUCUUGCGGAUGGGGAGGCGCCUCGACGCCACUUCAUUCCCCGAGUCCUUAUUUUCCUCUGAGAGGAGGUUAAGAGGGGUUGCAUGUGUUCACUCAUCUCUUUUAUUCUUCCUGGUUGAGACAGAACGUAUCUCAGAGGUUCACCGAGUUCAAAGAAUACCACAAAGCCUCUUGAACUCCAAAAAUUUUUCGCAGGAAUAUGCAUAUACAUUAAAGCAACCACGGCGGGUGUCGCAGCUUUAAAGAUGUGAGUGCCCACACCAGGAUUGCAGGAGCCUUACAUCAGGCACCUCGCCCCUGACACAAUCAGGAAUCCAUGUUCACAUUUCCUCUCUCAUGUGGGAGUCAAACAUGUCCUCCAGUUUAAUUCUGUUAAAAUCCCCGACCCUCAAACUCGGUGUGAUCCUCCAGCAUCUAAAUUCUGUCUCCCCUCUGCCAGCGCUGCUUCGUCUGGGAGCUUAAUUAAAACAACAGCCCGUUAAAGCCUCCAGGUAAAAGAGGGAUACUCGGCUCCGAAGUGUGAGUCAGAGCUCUCGACCCAGCAGCGGUAAAGAAACCUGGAAGGUCGUCGGUGUGAAGCGUGAACACAGUCCUGAGGUGCUUUAGCAUAUUGUUCAUUUAGUCACUGCUUUCAUUUUGGAUUUCAACAGACAUGAGCAGAAAUACCCUUAGUACCUUCAGUCUUUGUAUGAGAAAUAUCAGUAAAGAAGAUUCUGAAGACGCAUCAUGAAGACAGGAAUUUAGAUUUGCAAUCCCCCAGAAGAUUCGGGAUUAGCAGGACUACAAAAUAUUAUGGCACUUUUCUAGCACCUACUCUGCUUGGUUUGCAAGCUUUUUUUAUUCGGAUGUAGGACCUGGUACCAGCUACUAUUUCAGUACCUACUCUGCCGGGUUUCCAAGCGAGCUGAGUCGAGCCGAUAAUGUGACGUCUACAGAAUGCAGGCCAUCGAUUGGACAGGAAGUGACGACAUACAAGAGCGACUCCUUCACGAAAACCAAACCCGCCACGAGCUAACACAAUGUAGCAUGAGAACACAGGAGUGAUGGUUGCUGGAAAUGUUCCUCUGUACCCCUACAUUUCCACCUAGAAUAGUCAUUUACCACAUUAACAAUGUCUAGACUGUGUUUCUGAUUCAGUUAAUGUUAUCUUCAUUGUAAAAAAAACUGCUUUUCUUUAAAAAAUAAAAAAAAAGAACAUUUCUAAGUGACCCUAAACUUUUGAACAGUAGUGUCGGUGUGACGGUGCCACAAACAACUUGUCAAGUAAUUGUAUCUUGUGUUUAAAGCCCUCUUUGGUAUCUGUAUUAAUGGGUAUCAAGUCUUUCUUGACAUGACAAGUCCAGUAACUCUUUUGCUUUGGAUGUCAUUCAGAUCUAGAUUUAAAUGAUCAGACAAGUGAGUUGUGUUUCCUCAUCUCGUGGCAAGACGCUUCCGACAGAGAACCGUUGUGUUGAAUUGCAUCAUUUCUGCAGCGCAUGUAAACAAACUAAGUUUUUUCAAAAAUAAAGUCAAGAACCACUGUCCAAGAACGCUUAAAUUGGACUUAAUAAUGCACUAUCAGACAGGCUACUCAGACUACAAACAAAGCGAGUUUUCUUUUUGCAUCGAGCAGCAAAAAGGUUGGAGCAUGAUGUGUUUGAGUUAAUUUGUGGUAUUUCACAGAUGCAAACAACAUCACAGUGUUGUUUAUGUCGCCAAAGUUUGGGAUGCCAAACCACAAACAGAACCGAAAUGAAAAUGGACUCAUCCUUUCCACCGUCAUGAUAUGAAAAAGCAACAAUUAAGAGGACUGCACGGGUUCACAGACAUCACUUGUGUUUCAUUCUCCUUAAAUUUGCCUCCAGGUGUGUUUGAGCAGAGCUACCAUACCUCUUAGUAUGGUACACACCAGUGCAGACCUUGGAGCAGAGGGUUUUUUGUGCAAACUGAAAAGGACAGAGCUUUUGCAGUCAGAGCCCCGAGGCUCUGGAACAAUCUGCCUGAGGAAAUCAGGUCGUCUGAGUCACCAAGUCUCUUUUAAAAACACACUUCUAUUAGAGAGUCUUACCUGAUUUUACUUUAGUUCUGAUUCUUUUUGAGUCGACUUUUUCAAAUGUUCCAACACUACUGGUCUCUCUGCUAUUAAAGCUGACCCUGAAAUGUGAAUUCUGGUUGGUUUAUAAGUGGUUUGGUGGUAACUUCAACAACAUAAUGCCACUUUGACGCCCUUUUUUCUGAAUAAACAAGUAAAUAAUUGAACACAUCCGAGGAGCAGCUGCAGAUUCACCGACCAUGAACCGGACUGUCCUCUGUUCAGGCCGGGCCUUUCAUGUGGAAAGCUGAUGUAUCAAAGGUCACAGAGUCUAGUUUCCAUUUUAUUUUACCACCAAUAUUAAACUUGAAAUCAGAAAAUUUUA